GAAGCCAGCUUCUCCAGAGGAAGCCUUGGUUGCACCUCUUCUUGCCAGGUCAAACUUGCUGAUUACUAGGGAUAUAGAGUGGGCGAAUCUAGUACUUGGUUUUGAGCAGGAAAACCGUUAUGCAGUAGUAGAUGUGUGCUACCCGCAGUCUCCUGUGGGUUUUAUUCGUGAGCAGAGUAAUGUAAUUGCUAGGCAGUUGCUUCGUCUGAGGCGCCCUUUUGUUGCUUACAUAACUGAUGCUAUGGGUAAUGAGCUGUUUAGGGUUCAGAGGCCAUUUUGGUGGAUAACCAGCUCAAUUUAUGCAGAGAUUAAUGGUAAAGAAGUUGGUGUGGUUCAUAGACGAUGGCAUCUUUGGAGGAGAAUAUAUGAUUUGUACCUUGGAAAUAAUCAAUUUGCUGUGGUUGAAAAUCCUGGACUUUGGAAUUGGACAUUUACGUUGAAGGAUAUUAAUGGGGAAGUUGUGGCUCAAAUAGAUCGGGAUUGGAGGGGUUUUGGAUUUGAGAUCUUUA
rnacentral:misc_RNA from 1 species